ACAGACUGUGGCCACUGGCUUUAGAGCUGUAAUACAGACUGUGGCCACUGGCUUUAGAGCUAUAAUACAGACUGUGGCCACUGGCUUUAGAGCUGUAUUAGAGACUGUGGCCACUGGCUUAAGAGCCUUUAUCGCUGUAGUUCUGAAAGCCAAUGCCUUUAAAUGAUGGCAAUAAUGAGUGUAGCUACUGCCUUUAAAGCUGAUAUACUGACUGUGGCCACUGCCUUUAAAGGUGUCGUUCUGAAUGCAGUCACUGCCUUUAGAGCCAUAAUACUGAGUGUGGCCACUGCCUUUAAAGGUGUCGUUCUGAAUGCAGUCACUGCCUUUAGAGCCAUAAUACUGAGUGUGGCCACUGCCUUUAGAGCCAUAAUACUGACUGUGGCCACUGCCUUUAGAGCCAUAAUACUGAGUGUGGCCACUGCCUUUAGAGCCAUAAUAAUGAGUGUGGCCACUGCCUUUAGAGCCAUAAUAUUGACUGUGGCCACUGCCUUUAGAGCCAUAAUACUGACUGUGGCCACUGCCUUUAGAGCCAUAAUACUGACUGUGGCCACUGCCUUUAGAGCCAUAAUACUGACUGUGGCCACUGCCUUUAGAGCCAUAAUUCUGACUGUGGCCACUGCCUUUAGAGCCAUAAUACUGACUGUGGCCACUGCCUUUAGAGCCAUAAUAAUGAGUGUGGCCACUGCCUUUAGAGCCAUAAUAAUGAGUGUGGCCACUGCCUUUAGAGCCAUAAUACUGACUGUGGCCACUGCCUUUAGAGCCACAAUAAUGAGUGUGGCCACUGCCUUUAGAGCCAUAAUACUGACUGUGGCCACUGCCUUUAGAGCCAUAAUACUGACUGAGGCCACUGCCUUUAGAGCCAUAAUACUGAGUGUGGCCACUGCCUUUAGAGCCAUAAUACUGACUGUGGCCACUGCCUUUAGAGCCAUAAUAAUGAGUGUGGCCACUGCCUUUAGAGCCAUAAUACUCACUGUGGCCACUGCCUUUAGAGCCAUAAUACUGAGUGUGGCCACUGCCUUUAGUGCCAUAAUACUGACUGUGGCCACUGCCUUUAGAGCCAUAAUACUGAGUGUGGCCACGGCCUUUAGAGCCAUAAUACUGAGUGUGGCCACUGCCUUUAGAGCCAUAAUACUGAGUGUGGCCACUGCCUUUAGAGCCAUAAUACUGAGUGUGGCCACUGCCUUUAGAGCCAUAAUACUGACUGUGGCCACUGCCUUUAGAGCCAUAAUAAUGAGUGUGGCCACUGCCUUUAGAGCCAUAAUACUGACUGUGGCCACUGCCUUUAGAGCCAUAAUAAUGAGUGUGGCCACUGCCUUUAGAGCCAUAAUAAUGAGUGUGGCCACUGCCUUUAGAGCCAUAAUACUGACUGUGGCCACUGCCUUUAGAGCCAUAAUACUGAGUGUGGCCACUGCCUUUAGAGCCAUAAUACUGAGUGUGGCCACUGCCUUUAGAGCCAUAAUAAUGAGUGUGGCCACUGCCUUUAGAGCCAUAAUACUGACUGUGGCCACUGCCUUUAGAGCCAUAAUAAUGAGUGUGGCCACUGCCUUUAGAGCCAUAAUACUGACUGUGGCCACUGCCUUUAGGGCCAUAAUAUUGACUGUGGCCACUGCCUUUAGAGCCAUAAUACUGACUGUGGCCACUGCCUUUAGGGCCAUAAUAUUGACUGUGGCCACUGCCUUUAGAGCCAUAAUACUGAGUGUGGCCACUGCCUUUAGAGCCAUAAUACUGACUGUGGCCACUGCCUUUAGAGCCAUAAUACUGACUGUGGCCACUGCCUUUAGAGCCAUAAUACUGACUGUGGC
ensembl:lncRNA